AGGGAAUGCUUGACGGUGAUACAGUUUACUACCGUCACAGGGGCUGUAUGUGAGUUACCGGUAACAGAGCACAGGGGAUUACACACAGGGGCUGUGUGAGAGUUACCAGUAACAGAGCACCAGGGAUUACACAUAGCUGUCUGUGAGUGACCGGUAACAGAGCAGAGGGGAUUACACAUAGGGGCUGCCUGUGAGUGACCGGUAACAGAGCACAGGGGAUUACACAUAGG